CCCAACUAUCCCUAUUAAUCAUUACGUCAAUCCUAGAAACCAACAAAAUAGGAUCGAACGUCCUAUUUCAUUAUUCCAUGCUAAUGUAUUCAAGCGUUAGCCUACUUUAAACACUCUAAUUUUUUCAAAGUAACAGUCCUGUUUCCCUGCAACACCAAAUUAAUGGCAUUACAGUUCUUCAGAAAGGAGGAACCAGCAAAGCCAGUGCAUACCAGUGGCACGACCAACCUGCUGAUCCCGAAAUUCAACUACGAGCUUUUUAACUGCAACAACUUUAAUAUACGCUAUUGGAGCUGGAAUUACCGCGGCUGCUGGCACCAGACUUGCCCUCCAA
rnacentral:misc_RNA from 1 species